ensembl:snoRNA
ACCCUCUGAUUCCCUUUCCCAUCUGAUUUGAACACUGGUCUUGGUGGUAGUUAAAGGAGGAAAAGGAACAAUAAAUUNAUACACAG